rnacentral:sRNA from 1 species
UCCCAAGACAUGCUUUCCCACUUCGAGACCAACUCCGCUCUACUGGAGCAGCUCUCUGAGCUCCAAGGUAGCACUGAGCCAUUUCUCACGGAGCAUCCACAUAUGGCAGCGGAGCACACAGUAAAUUGGCUCACAAUUGCAGCACUUAGCUCAGCAAUCGACAAAAAUGAAGAAAAAUUGGCAGCUUUAUCAGAAAAAUGCGUUGUUUUUCAACUUUUCCUGGCGUCCGCCACAGGUCAGAAGCAAUUUUUCAAAAAAUUCGAAGUUUCUGAGAAUCUGGAUGAGGUUAAAGCUUUUAAGAGCCGGAUGAGGAGCAGAGCUCAGGCAAAAGGAGAGAAACCAGAGAAAAUUAAUUUGAAUCAAGGUACUGUCGAUUCUAGGCAGUUUUUGGAGGAGCUGAAGCAGUUGGAAAAUUUGAAAAAGG